CGACGCGGCCCCUGUAUGAGCAGCAUACAAGCACUCACCUAGCUGAGAAGCUGCAGGAGGUCGUGGCAGAGUGGAAACUAGAAAGGUAUGCCUGUCGCACUUAAUAGCGAGAAUAAUUUCUUUUAACUUUUAGUGGGGGAAGGUCUCACCUAAGUAGAAUUUUUUUGUUUGUUAUUAUUCUAUGUAAUUUGCACUUUCAUAAAUAAGAGAUGCUGUAUUUCCAGAAAAAGAAAGCUCCAAG